AGCAGCCGCGGUAAUUCCAGCUCCAAUAGCGUAUAUUAAAGUUGUUGCAAGUUAAAAAGCUCGUAGUUGAAUUUCGGGAUCAAAGGAUCGGUCAUGCCUUGGUAUGUACUGGUUUUAUUGGUUCUCACCUUCUAAAGAACCAUAAUGUCAUUCAUUUGAUGUUAUGGGGAAUUAGGACUGUUACCUUGAAAAAAUUAGAGUGUUUAAAGCAGGCUUACGCUUGAAUACAUUAGCAUGGAAUAAUGAAAUAGGACGUUUGAUUCUAUUUUGUUGGUUUCUAGGAUCGACGUAAUGAUUAAUAGGGAUAGUUGGGGGCAUUAGUAUUCAAUUGUCAGAGGUGAAAUUCUUGGAUUUAUUGAAGACUAACUACUGCGAAAGCAUUUGCCAAGGAUGUUUUCAUUAAUCAAGAACGAAAGUUAGGGGAUCGAAGACGAUCAGAUACCGUCGUAGUCCUAACCAUAAACUAUGCCGACUAGGGAUCGGAUGAUGUUAAUUUUUAAUGACUCAUUCGGCGCCUUAA
rnacentral:rRNA from 1 species